UACAGAGACUGCAAGCGCUAUUCGGAUUCACUGGGCGUAAAGGGUGCGCAGGCGGCCAAGUGUGUGAGGCGUGAAAGCCUGGGGCUUAACUCCAGAAUUGCACCUCAAACUACAUGGCUAGAGCAUUGGAGAGGGUAGCAGAAUUCACGGUGUAGCAGUGAAAUGCGCAGAUAUCAGGAGGAACACCAGCGGCGAAGGCGGCGCUCUGGGCCGGUACUGACACUGAGGAGCGAAAGCGUGGGUAGCAAACAGG
rnacentral:rRNA from 1 species